CUGACUGGCUGUAUUUUCCUCUAAUUUUGAGCAAUUUUAUCUGUUUUCUUAUCGAUAAAGCCUGUUUUAACCGAUUGUAACUUUGAAAUAGAUCAGUGUUUACAAGUGAAUACAUUUGUGUAAGCGAAAAUUAUCGCUUACGCGUAAAGUAACCGAGAAAAGGGCCGGUCUCGGGGAUUGCAAUUAAAAGAUGUGGAAAGCGGGUAUAGAUGUGACAACGGUGGCCCCAACAGAAGGUGAUGACUGGGAGACCGACCCGGACUUUGUCAAUGAUGUCACCGAGCACGAGCAGCGAUGGGGACCUGGUGGCCGGAAUGUGGAGGCUAUUGAUAUGGCAAAGCUAAGAGAGGAGGUUUUGGAGGCAGAUAAAGUGUCAAAACAGAAGCAGUAUGAACAAGGACCGAAGCCAUCUUUUGGAUAUGGCGGUAAAUUUGGCGUCCAACAGGAUCGUAUGGACAAGUCUGCGGUCGGACACGACUACAUCGAAAAAACUGAGAAACAUGUCUCACAGAAAGACUAUGCACAAGGUUUCGGCGGCAAGUUCGGCGUACAGACCGACCGGAUGGACGCCUCAGCGGUGGGACACGACUACGUCGGCAAGACGGAGAAGCACGAGUCACAGACCGACUACUCGAAGGGGUUCGGCGGCAAGUUUGGGGUGCAGACUGACAGGGUUGAUAAGAGCGCGGCGGGCUGGGAGCACCGCGAGGCGGUGGCGCCGCACCCCUCGCAGACGGAGCACAAGCUCGGCUUCGGAGGCAAGUUCGGCGUGCAGACCGACAGACAAGAUGCCUCUGCCCUUGGCUGGGACCACCACGAGAGUCGUACCAAGCACUCCAGCCAAAUGGACCAUAGCAAGGGCUUCGGUGGUAAAUUCGGCAUCGAGACCGACCGCGUGGACAAAUCAGCCCUUCCCUUCACGGCAGUGGAGCGAGUGGGGACAACUCAUACACGGGCCAAGCCCGACAUCGGCGGCGCCAAGCCCAGCUCCAUCCGGGACAAGUUCGAGAACAUGGCCAAGGAGAAGGAACAGGAAGCUCUACAAUCUGUACAGAGGAUACGGGAGCAGAGGACUAAAAUGGACAAAGACCUUUCACAAAAAGAAAAGGACCGAGUCGCGAAAGAAGACGCAGCAACCCCGACCCCGCCAACCCCACAAACCCCGCAACCCGCAACCCCACCCGUGACCCCAGUCACCCCAGCCCCAGUUACCCCAGCACAAAUUACCCCACCUGUAACCCCAGUGGUGAAACAGGCGGAACCAGUGUUGAAGCAACAGGUGGAAGCUAUGAAGACUAGUGUGGACCCGCCGACGCCCGUUGAAGAAGUGAAAGCUGUGAACCUGCCUGAUGUCACGUUGGUGGGAGAGCCUAAGGAGGAAAAGGAGGAGCUAACCCGCCAGCCCACAGUCGUCAUAUCCCCGGUCGGAUGGGAGAGCGAGGCGGGAGACGCGAGCUUGGCCGACGAGGAAGAGGAGGGGUAUACUGCGCGCGCGCUCUACGACUACCAGGCGGCCGCGCGCGACGAGAUUAGCUUCGACCCCGGUGACGUCAUCACUAACAUCAUCAUGGUCAGUGUACUUGUUGCUUAUAGCAAUCUCUACCAGGGAACCGCACCAUGGAAGUUACAUACACGCAUAUGCGAAGCAUAUAAGGAAGAGGGUGUCCCACGCUCGGUACUAUAGUUAUGCGAAGCAUAUGAGGAAGAGGGAGUCCCACGCUCUAUACUAUAGGUAUGCUGCACAUUUAAGGUCGAGGGUGUCACACUACAUAUAGUAAAUAAAUAAAUGUGUAUACAUACUCUAUAUAUUGUGUGUAGUGGCUUGUCUAGUAAGUAGGUCGUACCGGGGUCGGGCGGGAGAGCGAGGCGGGAGACGCGAGCUUGGCCGACGAGGAAGAGGAGGGGUAUACUGCGCGCGCGCUCUACGACUACCAGGCGGCCGCGCGCGACGAGAUCAGCUUCGACCCCGGUGACGUCAUCACUAACAUCAUCAUGAUCGACGAGGGUUGGUGGCAGGGGCUGUGUAAAGGCGCGUACGGACUGUUCCCAGCCAACUACGUGCAACUGAUCGACAAGAGCCCCGUGUAAACUCACCCUUACAUUCCCAUACAAUUAAUGUUUCAUAACACUGUACAGAUUAUCUUGUUUAAUGCUAUAUUUUUAUAAUGAAAAUAUAUUGGAUUUAGUUGAUACACCUUGACAUAAGAAGUGCAAAAGGAUAAGUGUGAGGCCCCAUUGGUUCGUUUGGUUUGGUUGGAACUGUCGUUAAAAAUAUAAUUAUGUUCACGACGCCGAUUCGACGUAACACAGCACAACGCACCAAUGGGGCCGAAUCCGUAUGUGAAUGAUUUACUGGUCAGACAUAGACAAGCUUAAUGG